UACGUAGGGUGCAAGCGUUAAUCGGAAUUACUGGGCGUAAAGCGUGCGCAGGCGGUUUCGCAAGUCUGUCGUGAAAUCCCCGGGCUUAACCUGGGAAUGGCGAUGGAGACUGCGAGGCUAGAGUUUGGCAGAGGGGGGUAGAAUUCCACGUGUAGCAGUGAAAUGCGUAGAGAUGUGGAGGAACACCGAUGGCGAAGGCAGCCCCCUGGGUCAAAACUGACGCUCAUGCACGAAAGCGUGGGGAGCAAACAGG
rnacentral:rRNA from 1 species